AGCAGCCGCGGUAAUUCCAGCUCCAAUAGCGUAUAUUAAAGUUGCUGCAGUUAAAAGCUCGUAGUUGAAUUUCGGGACCAUCAUGUUGGUCGUGCCUCGGUACGUACUGGCAUUGUUGGUUUCUCCCUUCUGACGAACCAUGAUGUCAUUUAUUUGGUGUCGUGGGAAAUCAGGACUGUUACUUUGAAAAAUUAGAGUGUUUAAAGCAGGCUCACGCUUGAAUACAUUAGCAUGGAAUAAUGAAAUAGGACGUUUGAUUCUAUUUUGUUGGUUUCUAGGAUCGACGUAAUGAUUAAUAGGGAUAGUUGGGGGCAUUAGUAUUCAAUUGUCAGAGGUGAAAUUCUUGGAUUUAUUGAAGACUAACUACUGCGAAAGCAUUUGCCAAGGAUGUUUUCAUUAAUCAAGAACGAAAGUUAGGGGAUCGAAGACGAUCAGAUACCGUCGUAGUCUUAACCAUAAACUAUGCCGACUGGGGAUCGGA
rnacentral:misc_RNA from 1 species